UUUUUUGGUGCGGUAAUUUUGAUGCGUUAAAUAUAAUGCCACUUUUUUUAAAAUGUCAGCUAUUAUAUCACAACAAUAUACAUCAUAAUAUUAUGUACUAAAUUUCAAAUGAGUAUUAUUAUUACUCCUAAUCUUAUAGACGAUGUAAGAUCAAGAGAAAACCUUUGGAAUCCACAAGAUAAAGAGUUUUAUAAUAGGAAGCUAAAAUACAGGGGAUGGGAAGAAAUAGGUGCAAUCCAUGGCGUCUCAUCCUCUACUGCAAAAACAAAAUUCAAACAUAUAAAA